rfam:Acetobacter pasteurianus IFO 3283-01 DNA, complete genome.
CAAGUGAGUAGAAGCGGUCGGAAUAGAAAUAUUCUGGGCAUUGCUCCACCA